AUACGGAGGGUGCGAGCGUUAAUAGGAAUUACUGGGCGUAAAGCGCGCGUAGGCGGUUUGGUCAGUCGGAUGUGAAAGCCCCAGGCUCAACCUGGGAAUGGCAUUCGAUACUGCCUGACUAGAGUAUGGUAGAGGGAAGUGGAAUUUCCGGUGUAGCGGUGAAAUGCGUAGAUAUCGGAAGGAACACCAGUGGCGAAGGCGACUUCCUGGGCCAAUACUGACGCUGAGGUGCGAAAGCGUGGGGAGCAAACAGGAUUAGAAACCCGAGUAGUCC
rnacentral:rRNA from 1 species